UGUCCAGUAGCACCUUAGAGACCAACUAAGUUCGUUCUUGGUAUAAGCUUUCGUUGUAUCUGAAGAAGUGUGCAUGCACACGCUUAUACCAAGAACAAACUUAGUUGGUCUCUAAGGUGCUACUGGAAA